ACCCCAGUGGUCUAAUGGAUAAGGCACUGGCCUUCAAAGCCAGGGAGUGUGGGUUCAAAUCCCACCUGAGGUG